GUAGUCAUAUGCUUGUCUCAAAGAUUAAGCCAUGCAUGUCUAAGUAUAAGCAACUAUACUGUGAAACUGCGAAUGGCUCAUUAAAUCAGUUACCGUUUAUUUGAUAGUACCUUACUACUUGGAUAACCGUGGUAAUUCUAGAGCUAAUACAUGCGAAAAACCCCGAUUUCGGAAGGGGUGUAUUUAUUAGAUAAAAAACCAAUGCCCUUCGGGGCUCCUUGGCGAUUCAUAAUAACUAAACGAAUCGCAUGGCCUUGCGCCGGCGAUGGUUCAUUCAAAUUUCUGCCCUAUCAACUUUCGAUUGUAGAGUAGUGGUCUACAAUGGUUUCAACGGGUAGCGGGGAAUUAGGGUUCGACUCCGGAGAGGGAGCCUGAGAAACGGCUACCACAUCCAAGGAAGGCAGCAGGCGCGCAAAUUACCCAAUCCCGACACGGGGAGGUAGCGACAAUAAAUACUGAUACAGGGCUCUUUUGGGUCUUGUAAUUGGAAUGAGUACAAUUUAAAUCCCUUAACGAGGAACAACUGGGGGGCAAGUGUGGUGCCAGCAGCC
rnacentral:rRNA from 1 species